rnacentral:lncRNA from 1 species
UGUUCUGGGUGUGGCUGCAUGUGAUUUACCCAAUAGCCAGAGUGGGGGGGACUGCCGAAGGGGAAAGACAGAGCGGCUGCUGCAGGGAGUGGACACCGAGGGCUGCAUGAUGAAGACCUCUGGAGCCUGUAUACUGUUGUGUUUCUUAGCACUCUCCUUGUUCUCAGCUGACUGGUUUCCAUGGGUGGUCAAUGGGCAAGAACUGGAAAGUGCAACUGGUGAAGUUAGCACCGACUCUCUUAUCACCACCCCUGCUGCAGCUGUCACACCGCCCGUGCUUCUUAGUCCUGUUCAGUCUGACAGUGAAACUACAACAGCUUCAUCAGGUAUGCCUGCACCCCCUCCCAGACCUACUUUCACCCACCCUAUUACCUCUCCAGGCAGGUGCUGUCUGAACACUUUAUCUCCUGGAGAAUUCCCUUUACCCUGUUCCUUUAGUUAGAAGUACUGGAAAAUGACGGCAAUGGAAGCUAAAGUCUUCCUUCUGGGAGGGGUGGAACUGGCAGAUCACCAAACCGCAUGUGCUGGCUCAGUUUUCUAUCAUUGUCAGUGGGCAAGACCUGGCAUUUCAAAAGGAAAAGCAAGAAAACCCACCAUAGUUUGCUACAGGGCUGAUUGUCUGGGAAAGAAAGGAACUAGAUUUGUGUCCAGAAGUGUGAGAUUGCAGACGUGUAGAAAUACGUGCCUUAAACAUG